rnacentral:rRNA from 1 species
CGCGGCCUAUCAGCUUGUUGGUGAGGUAAUGGCUUACCAAGGCUUCGACGGGUAACCGGCCUGAGAGGGUGACCGGUCACACUGGGACUGAGACACGGCCCAGACUCCUACGGGAGGCAGCAGUGGGGAAUAUUGCACAAUGGGCGAAAGCCUGAUGCAGCGACGCCGCGUGAGGGAUGACGGCCUUCGGGUUGUAAACCUCUUUCAGUCAGGAACAAGCCUUCGGGUGAGGGUACUGGCAGAAGAAGCACCGGCUAACUACGUGCCAGCAGCCGCGGUAAUACGUAGGGUGCGAGCGUUAUCCGGAAUUAUUGGGCGUAAAGAGCUUGUAGGCGGUUUGUCGCGUCUGCUGUGAAAGCCCGGGGCUUAACUCCGGGUCUGCAGUGGGUACGGGCAGGCUAGAGUGAUGUAGGGGUAACUGGAAUUCCUGGUGUAGCGGUGGAAUGCGCAGAUAUCAGGAAGAACACCGAUGGCGAAGGCAGGUUACUGGGCAUUUACUGACGCUGAGAAGCGAAAGCAUGGGGAGCGAACAGGAUUAGAUACCCUGGUAGUCCAUGCCGUAAACGUUGGGCACUAGGUGUGGGGAGCAUUCCACGUGUUCCGCGCCGUAGCUAACGCAUUAAGUGCCCCGCCUGGGGAGUACGG